UACCACUACUUAUUUAUGUAUAAUAGAUAAGGAAAAUAUAAUUUUUCUUCUGUCGCUAGAACUCUGCAUUAUUCUCCCCUAAUGCACACUUUCACAUUAUGUAUCUUAUGUUACAUAGUUGUUUUGAAAUGUUGGUUAUGGAGAGUUUUAGGGUCAUGUUAACCCCUUAAGGACACAGCUUCAGAAGCAAAAUGCCACCAUGAUGGAAAAUGUCUGCCGUGUGUCCUUAAGGAGUUAAGAUUAGAGCUAUAAAUAAAUGUAAGGCGGGAGUUAGGGUCAAUGACAAGGUUACCAUUUCAGACAGCCUGAGCCUGAUGUAAAUGAAAUUUUGAUAUACCAGGGGAGGAGUGGGGGCGGAAGAGUAUUACCCAGUAUCCCGGUGUAAUCCAUUAAAGUGUGGAGGACACAAAUUUGAAGUGAAUUUAAAACGUUAGGUUAAAAUAACAGAAAACAGCUGCCUUAGAGGAUUUUUCUAAUUUGGCUGUUUUACCUUUGAAUUCCUAUUCAGUUUUCAAGAAUUCACCCUAAAAUGAAAAAAAAACCUCUUUGUCUCUAUCUUCAGUUCCUUUCCCAGCAGAUCAUUAAAGUGUUACUCCAACCAAAAAAGAAAAGUCUGUUUUAAUAAAGCAUUGUUUGUGGACAGCGUAAACCUUACUGUACCGUUCCUUCAUUCCCCAAGUAUAAAAUUAAAUGAAGCUAAAAUUGUCAACAUUGGAAGUCUGUUGCCAGCAAGCUGUGUGCGCUUUUAGCAGCCUUUUAAUAUAUGCACUGAACUGAUGUUAACCAGUCUGGAAAUCCUGUUCUGGGCAGGAAAAUGGUG